rnacentral:rRNA from 1 species
CAAGUCUUGACAUCCCUCUGAAACCUCUAGAGAUAGAGGCGGCCUUCGGGACAGAGGUGACAGGUGGUGCAUGGUUGUCGUCAGCUCGUGUCGUGAGAUGUUGGGUUAAGUCCCGCAACGAGCGCAACCCUUGAUUUUAGUUGCCAGCAGGUAAGGCUGGGCACUCUAGAAUGACUGCCGGUGACAAACCGGAGGAAGGCGGGGAUGACGUCAAAUCAUCAUGCCCCUUAUGACUUGGGCUACACACGUACUACAAUGGCUGGUACAACGGGAAGCGAAGCCGCGAGGUGGAGCCAAUCCUAUAAAAGCCAGUCUCAGUUCGGAUUGCAGGCUGCAACUCGCCUGCAUGAAGUCGGAAUUGCUAGUAAUCGCGGAUCAGCAUGCCGCGGUGAAUACGUUCCC